GUCACUGAAGGCUGCGAGACCUGCUGGGAUUACGGCGCCGAGCAAAGAGCCGGCCAAGGUCGGAGAGGGCCCCGUGAAGCCGCCGGCGGCGUCGAGGCAGGCACCGAAAAAACCCGAGAAGCCCCGCGAGCCCAAGAAGAAGGCAAGGAGUGGCAAACCGAGCACCAAAAACUGAUGAUGGAUGGCAGCAACAACAACAACAAAAGUGUGUUUUAUCUUCAGAUUUCAUCGUUUGUGUUCUAUCACUGUACUCUGGAUGUUGCUGCUGUCGUGGUGUGAGCUUGUGAUGUGAAGUGGUUGAAGUAUGCUUUGAUGUUGUGCUCA